AUUGAACGCUGGCGGCAGGCUUAACACAUGCAAGUCAAGCGGAGAUGAGGUGCUUGCACCUUAUCUUAGCGGCGGACGGGUGAGUAAUGCUUAGGAAUCUGCCUAUUAGUGGGGGACAACAUUCCGAAAGGAAUGCUAAUACCGCAUACGCCCUACGGGGGAAAGCAGGGGAUCUUCGGACCUUGCGCUAAUAGAUGAGCCUAAGUCGGAUUAGCUAGUUGGUGGGGUAAAGGCCUACCAAGGCGACGAUCUGUAGCGGGUCUGAGAGGAUGAUCCGCCACGCUGGGACUGAGACACGGCCCAGACUCCUACGGGAGGCAGCAGUGGGGAAUAUUGGACAAUGGGCGGAAGCCUGAUCUAGCCAUGCCGCGUGUGUGAAGAAGGCCUUUUGGUUGUAAAGCACUUUAAGCGAGGAGGAGGCUACCUGGAUUAAUACUCUAGGAUAGUGGACGUUACUCGCAGAAUAAGCACCGGCUAACUACAUGCCAGCAGCCGCCGUAACAC
rnacentral:rRNA from 1 species